GAAUACCCUCAACUCCUGUGUCUGCUUCAUGAACUUGGGGAACAUCCCCAGCAAUCUGUUUGAUUACAAAAUAUAUCCAAAUCUCCACAGCAUGUAUUCUAACAUCUGCUCCAUCAUUAUAAAUAAAUGCAAGCAAAACCUUCCUGAAAUGCUGGUUCAGAUGGUGGAUUUCUUGAAGAGCGGCCGGCUGCGCUCAGUACAUGAAACCAGAUGUGGUCACUUCAAAAGAAACCGAAGAAGUUUACCUUG